rnacentral:antisense_RNA from 1 species
AGCCCUCAGCGUACAUGCCAGCUAAUUACAGAUGCAGGAGCAAACCCCUGGCCCAUACAUCAGUUGGGUGUGGUGACUCACACCUGCAAUCCCAGCACUUCAGGAGGCUGAGGAGAGCAGAUCACUUGCGGCCAGGAGUUCGAGACCAGUCUGGGCAACAUAAUGGAGUUUCGCUCUUGUUGCCCAGGCUGGAGUGCAACGGCACGAUCUCAGCUCACCGCAACCUCCACCUCCCAAGUUCAAGCAAUUCUCCUGCCUCAGCCUCCUGAGUAGCUGGAAUUACAGAUUUUGAGUCUUGCUCUAUGGCCCAGACUGGAGUGCAGUGGCGUGAUCUUGGCUCACUUCAACCUCCACCUCCCGGGUUCGAGAGAGAUUCUCCUGCCUCAUCCUCCCGAGUAGCUGGGAUCACCGGCGCCCACAACCACACCCGACUAAUUUUUGUACUUUUAGUGGAGACAGGGUUUCACCAUGUUGGCUAGGCUGGUCACAAACUCCCGACCUCAGGUUAUCCAUCUGCCUUGGCCUCCCAAAGUGCUGGGAUUACAGGCGUGAGCCCCCGCACCUGGCCAAGAUCAGCUAG